UACGUAGGAGGCGAGCGUUGUCCGGAGUUAUUGGGCGUAAAGAGCUCGUAGGCGGUCUGUCGCGUCGGCUGUGAAAACCCGGGGCUCAACCCCGGGCCUGCAGUCGAUACGGGCAGACUAGAGUGCGGUAGGGGAGACUGGAAUUCCUGGUGUAGCGGUGAAAUGCGCAGAUAUCAGGAGGAACACCGGUGGCGAAGGCGGGUCUCUGGGCCGUAACUGACGCUGAGGAGCGAAAGCGUGGGGAGCGAACAGG
rnacentral:rRNA from 1 species